AGUGAACGCUGGCGGUAGGCCUAACACAUGCAAGUCGAACGGCAGCACAGUAAGAGCUUGCUCUUACGGGUGGCGAGUGGCGGACGGGUGAGGAAUACAUCGGAAUCUACUUUUUCGUGGGGGAUAACGUAGGGAAACUUACGCUAAUACCGCAUACGACCUACGGGUGAAAGCAGGGGAUCUUCGGACCUUGCGCGAUUGAAUGAGCCGAUGUCGGAUUAGCUAGUUGGUGGGGUAAAGGCCCACCAAGGCGACGAUCCGUAGCUGGUCUGAGAGGAUGAUCAGCCACACUGGAACGGAGACACGGUCCAGACUCCUACGGGAGGCAGCAGUGGGGAAUAUUGGACAAUGGGCGCAGGCCUGAUCCAGCCAUACCGCGUGGGUGAAGAAGGCCUUCGGGUUGUAAAGCCCUUUUGUUGGGAAAGAAAAGCAGCAGGUUAAUACCCCGCUGUUCUGACGGUACCCAAAGAAUAAGCACCGGCUAACUUCGUG
rnacentral:rRNA from 1 species